AAAUGAGCCAGAGCAUCAGUAUUUAUAGAGGAGCCCUAAACACAAGGGAAGGCUUUUGAAGAAAAUUCUCCAUCUCUAGAAAUGUGAUGGGAAGUGUCACCUCCUGUGAGCUCACUGGCACAAAGCUCUGCAGAAAGGCAUGACUGAAAACUUUCUGCUGGCACAUGAGUGGGUCAGAAAAGCCUGUGCAGACAUUCCUGUUGCCAACAACUCUUGCCAGGCAUGCAUCAGUUUUUCCUCAAGUGCAAUAACUCUCACAUCACAUAUGCAGCACAUAAACAAACUGGGAGUGAAAAGAAGUUGAGGACAGAAGAGGAAGGCUUUAUAACUGGAUGAUUGUACAGCUCAGACAUGAUCAAAUCUUUACUGAGCUCCUCAAGGAAGUUGAUUAUUUCAACUUUUCUACUUUGUAAAGUUUUCAUGAAGAAUGCUAUUCCUCUUCUGAACUAAAAUUGACCAUCCCUACACCAUGAACCGAAGCUCUCAGGCCAACUACUGGCUUCUAAAUCCGUAUGAACUUAGAAAUGGAACUCUGUUAAGGUCAUGACUGCAGCAGUUGUGUUCUCUCACUGCUGAACCAUGUAUUUUUCUUCGAGCCAAAGCCACUGCCUUUUUUUCCAGAGCUGAGAAUCCCUCAGUUCCAUCCCCCCCAGAGGUGAAGUGAAUGCUGUGGAAUAACAACUUGGACACACCCACAUGGCUCCAGGUUCCACUCUCAUCCCAUUGAAGACUAGGACAAUUAUAGCUCCAACAUGGCAUGAAAUGAAACUGUUACAGUCCACAGAUUGUUUGAUAGCCCUUUCAUAUAAUAAAUGAUGAAUGAAAAUCCUAACUCAUUAACUAAUAUUCAGAAUAUGAAACAGAAAUGUCUAUUUUAUAGACUCCAACAUUUUCUAUAGGAAGUUUAUUUCUGAUUAAAGUAGUUGAUAAUUAUAAAGUUGCAAAUGAAUGCUGAAUGGGAGAAUAUAUAAAAUGUUACUUUUUUGUGGCUGAUUGUAUUAGUCAUGCAGACUAUAAAUUACUGAUGAUUAAUGUGCACCUGCUCUGAAUAAAAUAUAACAGCAUUUUAUCAUAAGUUGCUAUAAUCUUAUAUAUUAGAAAUGUGGAAACAUCCUUCUUCAUUUUCCAAAAGUUCUUUUAACACACUUCAAGUGCUUCAAUGUUAAAGCAUUUCUAACUGCUCCAUGAUGAUAUAGUAUCUUUCAGUAAUUACAGGGAAACAUGCUUAAUGAAUGAGGAUGAAAUAACACUAUUAAUGCUUAAUGAUGA